rnacentral:rRNA from 1 species
UUUAUUAGUUAUAWUUAUAAUCAUGCCUGCACACUGAUUUUUAAAGAGCUGUAGUAUUCUAACUAUACUAAGGUAGCAUAAUAUAUUGCUUUUUAAUUGAAAGCUUGUAUGAAAGGUUCCAUGAAAAAGAAACUUUUCCUUAACUACCUAAAAAAUUAAUAUCUUAGUAAAAAAUCUAAGUUAUUUUUAAAAGACGAUAAGACCCUAUAAAAUUUAAUUUAAUAUUUCUGGUUAGAUUUUAUUACAUAAAUUUUAUUGGGGUAAUAAAAACAUAAUUUUUAACUGUUUUUGUUAUUAACAUUUUUAAUGAACUUUAUGACCCUAAUAAGACUACGAGAAUAAAUUACUUUAGGGAUAACAGCGUAAUUUUAUUUAAAGUUCUUAUUAAAAAUAAAGUUUGCGACCUCGAUGUUGAAUUAAGAAUUUUUAAUGGUGCAGUAGCUAUUUUAAUAAAUCUGUUCGAUUUAUAAUUUCUUACGUGAUCUGAG